AAGGCUUUAGCUUAAUUAAAGUGUCUGAUUUGCAUUCAGAACAUGUGGGAUAGAGUCCCGCAAGUCUUA
rnacentral:tRNA from 1 species